rnacentral:sRNA from 1 species
UCUCUAUUCGCAUUAAGCAGAUGCAGAGUGGGGAGUUGCAACACAGGCUUCCUGCUGCUGCCCUGACAAUGUGCCUCAACCCUGCCCUAGAGAAGUGAUCUCUGGGGAUGAAA